rnacentral:rRNA from 1 species
UACGUAGGGGGCAAGCGUUGUCCGGAUUUACUGGGCGUAAAGAGCGCGCAGGCGGUUGUUUAAGUCGGAUGUGAAAGCCCCCGGCUCAACUGGGGAGGGUCAUUCGAUACUGAUCGACUUGAAGGCAGGAGAGGGAAGUGGAAUUCCGGGUGUAGUGGUGAAAUGCGUAGAUAUCCGGAGGAACACCAGUGGCGAAGGCGACUUCCUGGCCUGUUCUUGACGCUGAGGCGCGAAAGCGGGGGGAGCAAACGGG